GAGUCAUGGUUUUCUCUGGAUAGAUGUCCAGGAGUGGGAUUGCUGGGUCAAAUGGUAGUUCUAUUUUUAGUUUUCUGAGGAAUCAAAUAGUAGCUUUCUUGAGAUACAAUCCACCAUGACAUAAAAUUCACAUUUUGAAAGUAUGAAAUACAGGGGAUUUUAGUAUAUUUAGAGUUAUGCAGACAUCAUUUUUAUGUAAUUUUAGAUCAUGUCCAUCACCUGAAAAGAAACCUUGUGCCCUUUAGUAGUCAUUGCACAUUCCUACCUUCCCAUAGCCCUUGGAAACCACCCCAUAGCCCUUGGAAACCACCACUCUGCUUUGACUCUAUGAAUUUACCUAUUCUGGACAUUUUUUAUAAAUGGAAUCAUAGAAUAUAUGGCCCUUUGUGUCUGGCUUCUUUCACUUAGCAUAAUGUUUUUAAGGAUCAUUCAUGUUAUAGCAUGUAUCCAUAUUCUUUUUUUAUAGCCAUAUAUUCCAUUGUAUGGAUAUAUACCACAUUUUGUUUAUCCAUUCAUCAGUUGAUAGACAAAUUUGAGUUGAUUCCCAUUUCUGGGUAUUAUGAAUAAUGCUGCUGUAAACAUUCAUGUGCACAUUUUGUGUAGAUAUAUGUGUUCACUUCUCUUGGUUACAUACCUAGGAAUGGAAUUCCCUAGUCAUAUGGUAACUCUGUUUUAACAUUUUGAGGAACUGUCAAACAUUUCCAAAGUAGUGGCACUAGUUUACAGCCCCAGCAGCCCCAAAUUCUCCACAUCUUCAACACUUGUGAUUGUUUUGUCUUUUUUAUAUUUGAGCCAUCCCUGUGGGUAUGAAGUGAGAUCACAUUAUGAUUUUAAUUUGCAUGUCCCUGAUGGUUAGUUAGCUCUGAAUGUCUUUUUAUUUACUUGUUGGUCAUUUGUCUAUUUUCUUUGGAAAAAUGUCUGUUCAGAUCCUUUGCUUUUUUGGCCAUGCCUGUGGCAUGUAGAAGUUCCCCGGGCCAGGGAUUGAACUGUCGCCACAGCAGCGACUCAAGGUGCUGCAGUGACAAUGCCAGAUCCUUAACCCACUGAGCUACACAGAAACUCCUGCCCAUUUUUAAUUGGUUUUUAUAACUUUUUACUUUUGAGUCAUGAGAGUUUUUAUUCGUGUGUGUGUGUGUGUGUAUGUGUGUGUGUGUUUGUGUGUAUUUGUAUUCUCGAUGCAAAUCCCUUAACAGAUAGAUGAUUUGCAAAUGUUUUUUUUCCUAUUCCCUGGUGGGUUGUCUUUUUAUUUUCUUGAUAGUUCUCAGUUCUUGGUCUUUAUCUUACUUUCAACAGAUUUGAUUACUGUCUCCUUCAUGUAUUUUCUUCACUUAAUUUCCAGAACACUACAUUCUCCUGAUAUUUUUCUCACCUUACUGUGUGCUUCACCUCUGUUUCCUUUGCUGCCUAUUUUUAAUCUCUCCAGCCUCUUAACAUUGAAGUGCCUCUGGGCUUAGUCCUCAGACUACUUAUUCUAUCACACCACUCUUUGUAUCUCUUCUGUUCACACUUAUAUGCCGACAGCUUCACAUGUUACUAUCAAUAUCGUGUAUUUAUCUGUCUACUUGACAUUGUGACUUAGAUAUCUGAUAGGCAUUUCAGAUUUAAAAUGUCUGAAACCAGAGUCCUGAAUCUUUUCUCCAAAAUCUGAUCCUCCUUCAGUCUUCCUCAUCUCACUAAGCAUCUAUUCCAUUACCCUAACUACUUGGGCCAAGGAGUCAUUCUUUUCAUUCUCUCCCUCCCCACAUACAACCCACCAACAAAUUGUACUGGCUUUAUCUGUAAUAUAUUUAGAAUCCAACUUUUCUCACUACUUUCACUGCUACCAGCUAGUCUAAACCAUUAUUUAACCUUUUCUGAAUUACCGUAAUAGCCUUCAACUAUUCUACCUGUCUUUAGUGCCUUAUAAUUUUUUCUCAACAUAGCAGUCGAAGUGAUCCUUUUAUUUAUUUAUUGUCUUUUUGCCUUUUUCAGGGCUGCUUCCCACGGCAUAUGGAGAUUCCCAGGCUAGGGGUCUAAUCAGAGCUCUAGCCGCUGGUCUACACCAGAUCCACAGCAACGUGGGAUCCAAGCCGCAUCUGCAACCUACACCACAGCUCAUGGUAACACCGGGUCCUUAACCCGCUGAGCAAGGCCAGGGAUUGGACCCGAAACCUCAUGGUUCCUAGUCAGAUUCAUUAACGACUGCGACACGACGGGAACUCCCCGAAGUAAUCCUUUUAAAGCAUGUCAGAUUAUUUUAUUCCUCUACUAAAACCAUGCAGUGGCUUCCCAUAUCAUUCAGAAAAAAACCCCAAAAUUCUUAAAGUCUCUUAUGUCAUUGAGCUCCUGUUUUUGUUUUGACCUUAUUUACUCUCUCCUCUUCCUCUCUCUUAUCCUUAAUAUUCCUCAAAUGCUCCAGGCAUUCUUACCUUAUGGCCUUUGUCUGUGGUGUAGUGUUAAGACAUGCCUCAGAUCUGGUGUGGCUGUGGCUGUGGCCGGCAGCUGCAGCUCCAAUUUGACCCCUAGCUUGAUGACUGUAUGCCGAGGAUGCAGCCCUAAAAAAAGAAAAGAAAGAAAGAAAUUACUAUAUUGAAAUAUCAUUUAUCUUGAUUACUAAUGUUUUUGGUGCCCCCUUAAAUUUUGCACCUGAGGUCAAUACUUUUCUGUGCUUUAUUUGCCUCUCAUUUGCCUCACCCUGCUGAGGAAACUAGGAAUGGAAGGGAAUCUCUUCCUGAUUGAGAGUAUCUACCAUAAACCUACAGCUAGCAUCAUAGCUAAUGUUGAAAAACUGAAUGCAUUCGCCUUAGGAUAAAGACAAAAUAAGGGUGUCCUCUCUUAGCCCUUCUAUUCAUUGUUACACUGGAGGUUCUCACUAAUCAGGUAAGACCAGAAAAAAGAAAUAAAAGGCAUCCAAGUUGGAAAGGAAGAAAUAAAACUUUUUAUUUAUAGAUGUUAUAAUUAUCUAUGUAGCAAAUGCUAAGGAAGCUUAAAAAAGCUAUUAGGACUACAGUAAUAAUGUGAGUUUAGCAAUAUGGCAGGAUAGAAGUUCAUUGUAUGAAAAUCAAUUGUAUUUCUGUAUAUGGCAAUCACAUUGAAAUGUUAAAAAUAUAAUUUAUAAUAGCAUUAAAAUAUGAAAUAGGAUAAACCUGACAAAAGUAUGUAAAAUCUGUACACUGAAACUAUAAAACAUUGCUGAAAGAAAGAGGAUGUAAUCAAUGGAAAUUUAUCAUGAUCAUGGAUUCACAGACUCAACAGUAUUAUAGUAACACUUCUCUUCAGGUUGAGUCAUAGAUUCAGUGAGUUCUAAUUCUCAGGGUUUUUUUACAAUAGAAAUCGACAAGCAGAUUUUAAAAUUCAUGUGGAAAUGAACUUAAUACUACCUGACCUAAGUUCAUAUUCUAAAUUUAUUUAUUAUAAAUCUUCUAGUAAUUGUCUUCAUGAUGUUAUACAUACCAAAACUUAUUAAAUUGAAUACUUUAAAUUAGAAUGGUUUAUUGUCAGUUAUAUUUCAACAAAGUUGGUAAACUGACUAGACUGCCCCCACUGUAAUCAAAAUGUGAAACAGGAAUUCCCGUCGUGGUGCAGUGGUUAACGAAUCCGACUAGGAACCAUGAGGUUGCGGGUUCGGUCCCUGCCCUUGCUCAGUGGGUUAACGAUCCGGCGUUGCCGUGAGCUGUGGUGUAGGUUGCAGACGCGGCUCGGAUCC
rnacentral:lncRNA from 1 species